UCCUAUGAUGGCAUGAAAUCUUUGAGAACUGAUUGUCAUAAAUUUGAUGACAAAAUCAAGCAAUUUUCUGAGGAC